AGUCGAGCGGAUUGAUGGGAGCUUGCUCCCUGAAUCAGCGGCGGACGGGUGAGUAACACGUGGGUAACCUGCCUGUAAGACUGGGAUAACUCCGGGAAACCGGGGCUAAUACCGGAUAGUUCUUUUCCUCGCAUGAGGAAAAGUGGAAAGGCGGCUUCGGCUGCCACUUACAGAUGGACCCGCGGCGCAUUAGCUAGUUGGUGAGGUAACGGCUCACCAAGGCAACGAUGCGUAGCCGACCUGAGAGGGUGAUCGGCCACACUGGGACUGAGACACGGCCCAGACUCCUACGGGAGGCAGCAGUAGGGAAUCUUCCGCAAUGGACGAAAGUCUGACGGAGCAACGCCGCGUGAGUGAUGAAGGUUUUCGGAUCGUAAAGCUCUGUUGUUAGGGAAGAACAAGUGCCGUUCGAAUAGGGCGGCACCUUGACGGUACCUAACCAGAAAGCCACGGCUAACUACGUGCCAGCAGCCGCGGUAAUACGUGUGUGGCAAGCGUUGUCCG
rnacentral:rRNA from 1 species